GACGUAGGGCGCGAGCGUUGUCCGGAUUUAUUGGGCGUAAAGAGCUCGUAGGCGGCUUGUCGCGUCGACUGUGAAAACCUGCAGCUUAACUGUGGGCCUGCGGCCGAUACGGGCAGACUUGAGUUCGGUAGGGGAGACUGGAAUUCCUGGUGUAGCGGUGAAAUGCGCAGAUAUCAGGAGGAACACCGGUGGCGAAGGCGGGUCUCUGGGCCGAUACUGACGCUGAGGAGCGAAAGCGUGGGGAGCGAACAGG
rnacentral:rRNA from 1 species